rnacentral:rRNA from 1 species
GACGAACGCUGGCGGCGUGCUUAACACAUGCAAGUCGAACGGAAAGGCCCUGCUUUUGUGGGGUGCUCGAGUGGCGAACGGGUGAGUAACACGUGAGUAUCCCGCCCUUGACUUUGUGAUAACUUCAGGAAACUGCGGCUAAUACCGGAUAGGAGCUCCUGCUGCAUGGUGGGGGUUGGAAAGUUUCGGCGGCUGGGGAUGGACUCGCGGCUUAUCAGCUUGUUGGUGGGGUAGUGGCUUACCAAGGCUUUGACGGCUAGCCGGCCUGAGAGGGUGACCGGCCACAUUGGGACUGAGAUACGGCCCAGACUCCUACGGGAGGCAGCAGUGGGGAAUAUUGCACAAUGGGCGGAAGCCUGAUGCAGAAACGCCGCGUGCGGGAUGACGGCCUUCGGGUUGUAAACCGCUUUCGCCUGUGACGAAGCGUGAGUGACGGUAAUGGGUAAAGAAGCACCGGCUAACUACGUG